GGCGGCGGGCGGGGCGGCGGGCUGGGUGCUCCGCGCGGCGGCUCGGAGAGCGCGGGGCGGCGCGCGGCGUGCGGGUCGCGGCUGAGCUGGGCGCCGGCGCCGGCUGGCAGGGCUCGCCCGGGACUGCCUCAGGCUCGCCGAGCUCGCCGCCGGCCCGCGUCGGCUCCUACUCGACCAGCUGCGGGGCUGCGGGGGCCGCGUCCCGGAACAGCGGCCGCCAGCCCGGGGCAGUCGGCGGCCACCCCGGGGGACCGGAGCCGCGCGGCCGACACUCGCCCCGUGCCGCCUCCGCCGGGCCGACCGCCGGGCUUGGCUCCGCCGCGCCCCGGCCGCGGCGCCUGGCCCGGGUUGCGCGCCGCUGGGGCGCGGGCGGGGUCGGGGGUUGCGGGGCCGCCGCUGCUCGCCUGCCGCGCGUCGGCGUCCCGGGCCCGGCGGCCAGCGAGCAUGGAGGAGAAGUACCUGCCGGAGCUGAUGGCGGAGAAGGACUCCCUGGACCCCUCCUUCACGCACGCUCUGCGGCUGGUGAACCAAGAAAUAGAAAAGUUUCAAAAAGGAGAAGCCAAGGAUGAAGAAAAGUACAUCGAUGUGGUGAUUAAUAAGAACAUGAAGCUGGGACAGAAAGUGUUAAUCCCUGUAAAGCAGUUCCCUAAGUUCAACUUUGUGGGGAAACUUCUGGGUCCCCGUGGCAAUUCUCUGAAGCGUUUACAAGAAGAAACGUUGACAAAAAUGUCCAUCCUUGGGAAAGGUUCCAUGCGAGACAAGGCAAAGGAAGAAGAGUUGAGGAAAAGUGGAGAGGCCAAGUACUUUCACCUCAAUGAUGACCUCCAUGUUCUCAUUGAAGUCUUCGCUCCACCAGCGGAAGCAUAUGCCCGGAUGGGACACGCACUGGAAGAAAUCAAAAAGUUCCUCAUUCCUGACUAUAAUGAUGAAAUCAGGCAAGCACAGCUCCAAGAAUUAACAUAUUUGAACGGUGGUUCAGAAAAUGCGGAUGUACCGGUUGUUCGAGGGAAACCCACCUUGCGUACAAGAGGUGUACCCACCCCAGCAAUAACCAGGGGAAGAGGAGGAGUCACAGCCCGGCCAGUUGGAGUUGGUGUACCACGAGGGACGCCAGCUUCCAGGGGAAUCCUUUCCACCCGAGGGCCAGUGAGUCGGGGAAGAGGACUUCUCACUCCCAGAGCAAGAGGAGUUCCCUCAACUGGGUACCGACCUCCACCACCACCCCCAACACAAGAGACGUAUGGAGAUUAUGACUAUGAUGAUGGAUAUGGCACUGCUUAUGACGAACAGAGUUAUGAUUCCUAUGAUAACAGCUAUAGCACCCCUGCCCAAAGUGGUGCUGAUUACUAUGAUUAUGGACAUGGACUCAGUGAAGAGACCUACGAUUCCUACGGGCAAGAGGACUGGACUAACUCGAGACACAAGGCACCUGCAGCGAGGACCACAAAGGGCGUCUACAGAGACCAGCCCUACGGCAGAUACUGAUUGUACUGUCUGGUGUUGUGAAAUAGCCAGUCUCCACCAGUCCUGUGUACUGUUCAAAGAAAUGUCAGCCAUCUUGGGAAGUCAGAGGAACUGGUUGUGCCCAAGGAGCAAACAAAGGGGCUUUCCUUCGAGUUAUGGACUGCUUAGAAUUCGUCGACUCACCAACGUGCCUAGUCAGUAAAUGAAUUCACUUGGGAGCUUAAAAAUCAUCUGAAUUUUUUUCACAAUUUUAUGUCCUGUGAAAUGUUUUAUAAAAUGAUACGCUUUUUUAAUUUGGAAAGCCUGUUUAAAAAAAGGGAAGAAAACUGAUCUUGUUUUGUGGUCUCCUAACAACAACAAACAAAUGAUUUGUGUGUUACUUAAUAAAAGCUGCCCAUUUCAAUCUUCUGCACUUUACUAUAAACCUAGAAAAACAAGGUCUUGUUAUUUCAACAAGCUCUAAAUUUUGCACACUUGAGAACCAUGUAUGCCUGCGAACUCACUGAGAGAAGGCCAGAUUAUAUACAUAGUCCAGAUUUGAAAAUGAUUUGUGCGUCUCGGUGAUGGACCAACAAAUACGGAUGUGUUCUUCCAAAAGUAUCCUGUCACGUAAAAGGUUAAUAGAAAGGCUUUUGCAGGAAGCAGAGUGGUACAGCCAGAAAAGAAAGCUGAUUUUCAUGCCUCUCUGUAAUUUGUUAUGGAACAUAAAGGUCAUAAUCCCUGUGGACAGUA